rnacentral:rRNA from 1 species
GGCGGUGGUUUAGCUGGUCAGAGGAAUUUGCCCUAUAAUCGAUAACCCCCGAGGAUUCUACUUAGAUUUGUGGUCAACUUGUAUACCGCCGUCAUCAGGAAAUUUUGGGAAAGUAUUUUCAGAAUCUUAUGAGAGAAUAUGUCAGGUCAAGGUGCAGUUAAUGUUUAAGGAGAGGUGAAUUACAAUAAAAGAAUUUAACACGGAAAGUUUUGUGUAAAAGGCUAGAAGGUGGAUU